GACUGAUGCUGGACAGGGCCCGGCUCACCCCAAGCCUGGGAGGUAGCCGAAGCAGAGAGGGAAGGCAGCAUAUGUCAGCGUUUUCUUCUCUGCACUUGUAAGAAAGAUCGAAGACUUUAAGACUUUCACUAUUUCUUCUACCGCUAUCUACUGCGCUCUUCAAAGAGGAACCAGGAGUACGGGAGGAGCAUGAAAGUGGACAAGGAGUGGGACCAUUGAAGCACAGCACCACAG
rnacentral:lncRNA from 10 species